rnacentral:tRNA from 1 species
AGAGACUUAGGUUAACACCAGACCAAGGGCCUUCAAAGCCUCCAGUAGGAGUGAAAAUCUCCUAGUCUUUG